CUCUGUGAGUGCCUAAUGAAGGAAUGUGACUUCCCAAGCCUGAAUGACCAGCCUCUAAAGCAGCUGGAAGGGAAGCAGCUGGCAGCAGGAUCCCAUGGAUAUUAAGCGCCCUUCCAAUAACCUUAUAACCCUGCCAAGAAAUCAGUGUCACCAGACACCACCUAAAAAUGGAAGAUUAAUUCAGCCACAAAUUAGGACCUUUACUCCACCUCAGUCCCCCAAAUACAUCCUCAUGUGCACAGGAAGAGGUUCUAGUCCUCUGUAACAUAUCCCAAACAAAGCCAGCUGGACUCAGGCUUCUUUCUUAGGGCAAUAGAAGCAAGAGCUGCUAGAAGAAACAGGCCAGCAUGGAACAUCUGUUGGGACCUUUGUUAUCUCCAGGACUUCUCAGCCUUGAAUGUUCAAAUGUAUACUUUGACUCUCAAAGAGGAGUGAAGGUGUAACAUUUUCCCAAUUUAUUUGACCACAGAAUCCUGACUUUGAGGAACACUUAGUACCUUCUUAAUGAACACAGUGUUCCAUAAAACAUGGGAACCCACCAGAAAUAGCCCUCAGGCCUGCCCAACUCUGAGACCUUUCACUGAUGGCCAGAGAAAGUGAGGACCUUGGGAAACAAAUCACACAGUCUGAUAUCUCCCCACAUACCCAGUGGAGCCCCUGACUUACCAGAAAUGGCAUCAGGCUCAGGUUUGCUCCCUGGCAGAUCCUCCACAGAUGUGCUGCUGCCCUCAGCACCAACACCGCAUCCCCGAGGCCCCAUGGCACUGGAGCGCCGCCGCUCGUGGAUCUCAUCUGAGAUCAUCUCCAGGUUCUUCAGGGCCAUCUUGUACUCGCCUUUUGCCAGGGUCAGUUUGGCCUGCAGGUCAUCCACAGUCUUUUUCAGUUGCUGAUCAAGAGAACAGGAGACUAAGUGAAGACUACCCUGCUAGCCUUAAGAUGCUUUCUGAAUGACAGGUUCAAGUACAUUUUCUGCCCAUCAUUCUACUUCAAGGAAUUUUCCAAGACAUGACUGAAGACCUAAUUACCAUUGUAACUGCUAUUCAUUCACCAGACAAAAUCAGCCACCACCAUCCCCAGAUCCCAUCCAGGUGACAACCUCUAAUAUCCAAAAACUCUCACUGGUGGAACAAACCCCAUCAGGGAAGCAAAAAUGGGCAUCAGACACACCAAAGUCCCACAGUCUAGACAUCUGGUUCCCAGUACAGUGGUUCUCAAAGUUGAGCUUGCAUCAAAAUCCCCUUGGGUGUUAAGACUCAGCUCACUAGACUCCAACCUCAGAGUUUCUAAUUCAGUCGGUCUAGAGUGGGACCUGGUCUAUCAGGUCUCCAGGUGAUGCUGAUGCUGCUGGUCCUAAGAGCAUGCUGUGAGAACCACUGGCCUAGUACAACAGAGAAGGUGACUGAAUGGCAGUUACAGAGGUUCAGAGACCACUGAAGACCCAACCGAGACAAUUUUGAGGUCUGAAAACUCAGUAAAGCCUGUCUCUCCACUUUCCCCUUAUAGCAAGUGGCCCAUGUGAUACUCUGCUACCCCAGAAAAGUGAAGCUUUGAGUGCAGAAAAAUCUCAUCAGUGACGAAGCCCAAAGCUACACAUACCUCGAGCUGCACAUAGUACUUUGCCUUGAGUUCAAAAUAAGGCCUGCAGAAGACAGGAAGGAAAGCCAUCAGAGUAAUAUAAUACAGUGACCACAGUCAACUCCACAAGAUGAACAAGAGGCAUCAGCUACCACUGGCCAGGUCGUCCUUCCAAUAUUUAGUAAACUCUUAACAAGGCCGUGACAUGUCAGUGAUGCUCCUAGCUCUGGAGACUGACAGACACCAGAUGGAACGACUGGGCUCACCCAGGGCUAUAUUAACAGGAGGCCCAUCUCAAGACACGGGGAACCCACACACACAUAUCUUGGGGACUCUGCAACUUAGCUCAUGUUCCUCCUCUGUGGGAAGGCUGUUCAGAGCCUCACAGGUUAUACCCAGCAGUAAGGGUGGCCUGGAUCUGCUCUCCUAAUGAAGUUGGCUCCCCAGGGAUGAAGAGCAGCUGAGGCUGGAGAAGGGGCUGCUUAAACCUCCUCCUCUACUGAAGUCAACUGGGGAAGAGAGAGAAGCACCACUCCUCCCUCACAGCACAGCAAGGCCACCACUAGGAGGGGGUCUCAGGUUGGUCCUCCCAAACCUUGUCCAAAGACUGGAGUUAUUAGUUGGCUGACUCAGCCACAUAAUGGGCCCAAGAAAUGCCAGCGUCCUAGCAGUUCCCUUGGUUCUGGGUCAGCUGAAAGAGCUUGGCUCUUUUUUAGGAACUUUGGUGCCUGAACAUUAAGAGUAGAUCACUGCUUUAUUCUUGAGCUGUUCACCCUCCAUGAAGCUCUCAAGUCCUGCAUCCUGAGGAUCCAGAUGGAUGACAAGGACACAGGACUGCCAUUGAGAAAUGAAGAUGAACUGUGUCACAGAUGCAGUGGAUUACUGACUGCCCUUGUAAUAGUCCAUUUUGCAUCUGUUGGUAAUUCAUUGAGGCACUCUUGGUUUUCUAUGAGUUUGUAUUUUUUGAAUUCAAGAAUUGUAACAUCACUGUUAGAUCCCUCCUUAUUUAAUGAGAGAAAUAAAAUAUUUGACACGAGAAAAUUUUAUAUUUGUAUCCCAAUUA
ensembl:lncRNA SH3BP5-AS1 SH3BP5 antisense RNA 1